rnacentral:tRNA from 1 species
GGAAGUUGGACUGGCGAUGGCGCCAGGCCCCGCUGCUACCGGGUGCGAGCCGGCCUUCCGGCUUGGGGUUCGAGUCCUCCGACUUCCG